UUGUCGUGGCCUAGUGGUGAAGGUGAUUGACUUGUGAUCAAAAGGUCGCCGGUUCGAUCCACAGCUCCACUGGGAAU